CGCCCCAUGGCACGGAGGACACGUGACGGGGCGGGGCCUCUCCGCCCAACCGGCUACCGGCCCUUUCCAGGGCUUUAAAGGGACCGCCGCAGAUCCUGAAAUGGAUGCUCCUAAAAUGGGAGAGGGCACCACACCACAGUGAGAUGCCAAAGAGAUUGGGCCUGACCUGAAAGAUAGUGAGGUUCCCCUGGACUUGAUGCCCUGCCUGUCACCAUUGGUCUAGAAUAACAGGAGCUAAGUACUGGAGACCAUAUCUGGGAGCCAUACCGAAUCUUCACCCCUUUACAUUGUCUGCACACGGAUACAGAGUCACAGAUGAAAUCCAUUCCACAAGCAGAUUGUUAAACAUGUGUUUUCGAUGGUUUCCUACUGUAGCCAGCAAUGAAUAUGGAGCUGUUUAUCACAAAGAUUUACCCUGAAGCAUUUUACGGAUACUGACUAUCCUAAUACUCCAAAGUUGUAACAUUGUCUCCUGUUACACAGCUACAAAGUUAAUAAAUGAUUCAAACCCUG